rnacentral:rRNA from 1 species
UGAAUGGACAAACGAAAAUUAUGCUGUCUCGAUAAAUUCCCUAAAAACUAUCCUUCAAGUGAAGAGACUUGAAUUAAAAUAAAAGACAAGAAGACCCUGUAGAGCCUCAAUUUAUAUUAAACCCAAAAGUAAAAUACAUCAAAUCUUUAAUACCAUUUUAGUUGGGGCGACUAAGGACCAUCAAAACCCUCCUUCAUACAAAAGGCUUAUAAGCCUAAAUAAUGACCCAUUACAUGACCAAAAAACAAGGCUACCUCAGGGAUAACAGUCUAAUCUUCCUCAAGAGCCCAUAUUGACAGGAAGGAUUGGCACCUCGAU